rnacentral:rRNA from 1 species
UACGUAGGGUGCGAGCGUUAAUCGGAAUUACUGGGCGUAAAGCGUGCGCAGGCGGUUUUGGAAGCCAGAUGUGAAAGCCCCGGGCUUAACCUGGGAAUGGCAUUUGGGACUGCAAGGCUGGAGUGCGGCAGAGGGGGAUGGAAUUCCGCGUGUAGCAGUGAAAUGCGUAGAUAUGCGGAGGAACACCGAUGGCGAAGGCAAUCCCCUGGGCCUGCACUGACGCUCAUGCACGAAAGCGUGGGGAGCAAACAGG